AGAGCAGUUGUCUGGGGGUGGGAGCACCCAUUCUGCUUCCCCUCUCUGGCCCGGACACACCCACAGCAGGGGCCGGUCCCUCAUUUCCCCGCCCCCCAUCUCCAAUCCCUUGGGAGGCCCCAAGGAGGGUGGGUUCUUUAGAAGAAGGUUCCCUACUUGAUCCAAUCAAGCUGCCACUGGUCGCUGCCUGCACUGGGGAACGUGGCCGGCCCCGGGCGUGGGAGCCGCCUCCCGCCCUGGCCAGAAGGUAAACGUCCUGCAGAGCUGCCUGGGGUGGGGAGGGGCUGGGUGGAGACCACCUCCGACUCCUGGGCUGUCUCCAUCCCUGGCCGAUCCUCGAUCCUCGGUGCUGGAGCUUAGCAAACGAGUUCAUGCACAGUCUGCCCCUGUGCAGACGAGGAGCCUGAGGUCCAAGAGGACCCAGGAUGCUGUGACCACCUCUGCCAACCUCUGGGGCUUCUCGGGAACCCUGCUCCAGGGAGGUGCUUCCUUCUCUGAACCUGGGUUUUCUCAACUGUAAAACGGAUGUAAUCUGGUGCCCACCGCCCCAGCCACUGUGUGGGCAGAGGGCAGCUGGCAGGCCUUGAUGGGGCUUCUCCUGCAGUUUGACAAAGUUCCCUCCAGAUGAGUCCUAGGCUUCUAAGUGCCCAAGAAACCAGCAGAGCUGCAUUCCAGAUCCCCUGGCACAAGGGCUAAGGUCUCGGGGGCUGUGGUGCCGAACCUGACUUUCCAGCCCCAGUCGUCUCAAGAGAGAAGGUCCCCCUUCCCACAGAUGGGCCGGCCAGGGCCCCCCGGAGAGAAGGUCGCUGACACCCAGCUGUCUGGUGCCCCUGCCGCCCUCCACCAUGCCCUUGGAGAUGCCGUCCUCGGUCCCGAGGACUCGGACCUGGUGCCCUCUGUGACCCUGGCCGCAGCCCUGGUCCUGGUGUUCCUCCUGCUCUUGGCCUGGCUGGUGUAACACAGGCCCCUCUGAGUCUGCUGCUGCUGUGGCCUCCGAGGCAGAGGGUGGGGUAUCUGUUGGCCGGGCUGGGCAGGAGUCAGGAGUGGAGCUCCAGGAGCAGAUCCAGGGACGGGGCUGGAGGGUGGGGGUCUGCAGAGGUGGGGAGUUGAGGGUUUGCCGCAGGGCUGGAGUCCCCAUCUUUGCACGACCAUCUGGGUGCUGCAAACAAAGCCAGGUGAUCCCUGGGAAUUUGUGGAACGAAAUCAAAGUGAGUCCAGAAGCGAGCGUUCCAGCCCAGGCUCUGUCCACGAAGGGUUGUGACGGUCCAUGUGGUCUUGGCCCGCCACCUGCUGGCUGAAGUGAGAAUUGCACCAUCUGCGGUGCGAUCCCUUGGGGGUUCCUCAGGGCAGAGGAGAGUCACAGCACGCACCUGUGUGUCCAGGCUGGUGUGCUGGGAGCGGCAGAUGCCCUCUGUCCCCCACCGCUGCGUGGAUUCAGCCCAGUGGAGAGGGCAGGCCCAGCGUGUGGCAGGGGCAGGGCUCUGCUGGGGCCAUAAACUCCGGGAACUGCACCUUCGAGGAGGAUCCCAUUCAGGGACCGGUUUUAUAAAUGCUGAAGGUUCCACUUGGGGUUUUUCCUGCCCCGGCUCCUGCCUCCCGCCCCCCCCCCCCCCCCCCCCCACCGACUUCCAGGGAUACUGGGGCAGCCAGAUGCCUGAGGUGAAGGAAAUAUAUGCUUUGGGUGGGUUGCCCGUCGCCAAGGGUGACACGAUGGGCCUGGGACCUGGGGUGGGGCUGGCAGACCGCUCCUGAGCAGGCUGUCAGCGUCGCUAGGGGUAGGCAGCCUACCUGUGUGAGUGUGCAUG